rnacentral:rRNA from 1 species
GCUUGCUGGGGUGAUUAGUGGCGAACGGGUGAGUAACACGUGAGUAACCUGCCCUUAACUCUGGGAUAAGCCUGGGAAACUGGGUCUAAUACCGGAUAUGACUCCUCAUCGCAUGGUGGGGGGUGGAAAGCUUUUUGUGGUUUUGGAUGGACUCGCGGCCUAUCAGCUUGUUGGUGAGGUAAUGGCUCACCAAGGCGACGACGGGUAGCCGGCCUGAGAGGGUGACCGGCCACACUGGGACUGAGACACGGCCCAGACUCCUACGGGAGGCAGCAGUGGGGAAUAUUGCACAAUGGGCGCAAGCCUGAUGCAGCGACGCCGCGUGAGGGAUGACGGCCUUCGGGUUGUAAACCUCUUUCAGUAGGGAAGAAGCGAAAGUGACGGUACCUGCAGAAGAAGCGCCGGCUAACUACGUGCCAGCAGCCGCGGUAAUACGUAGGGCGCAAGCGUUAUCCGGAAUUAUUGGGCGUAAAGAGCUCGUAGGCGGUUUGUCGCGUCUGCCGUGAAAGUCCGGGGCUCAACUCCGGAUCUGCGGUGGGUACGGGCAGACUAGAGUGAUGU